AACAAACGCUGGCGGCGUGCCUAACACAUGCAAGUCGUACGAGAAAUUCGCUUCGGUGAAUGAGUAAAGUGGCGCACGGGUGAGUAACGCGUGGAUAAUCUGCCCUUUAGCUGGGAAUAACUCACCGAAAGGUGGGAUAAUACCCGAUAAAACUGUUUUACCUCGGUAGAAUAGUCAAAGAUAGCCUCUGUAUACAAGCCUUCACUAAAGGAUGAGUCCGCGUACCAUUAGCUAGUUGGUAGGGUAACGGCCUACCAAGGCAACGAUGGUUAGCUGGUCUGAGAGGAUGAUCAGCCACACUGGAACUGAGACACGGUCCAGACUCCUACGGGAGGCUG
rnacentral:rRNA from 1 species